UACGUAGGGGUCGAGCGUUGUCCGGACUUACUGGGCGUAAAGCGUGGGUAGGUGGUCGGUGAUGUGCCGUGUGAAAGCGCCGCGCUUCUCGCGGCGAGGUCGCGGUAGACACACCGACUGGAGGCACGGAGGGGGGCGUAGAAUUCCCGGUGUAGUGGUGAAAUGCGUAGAUAUCAUUUGGAACGCCAAUGGCGAAAGCAGGCAACUGGGGCUGUACCGACGCUGAGACACGAAAGCCAGGGGAGCGAACGGG
rnacentral:rRNA from 1 species